AUUGAACGCUGGCGGCAGGCCUAACACAUGCAAGUCGAACGGUAACAGGAAGCAGCUUGCUGCUUUGCUGACGAGUGGCGGACGGGUGAGUAAUGUCUGGGAAACUGCCUGAUGGAGGGGGAUAACUACUGGAAACGGUAGCUAAUACCGCAUCACGUCGCACGACCAAAGAGGGGGACCUUCGGGCCUCUUGCCAUCGGAUGUGCCCAGAUGGGAUUAGCUAGUAGGUGGGGUAACGGCUCACCCAGGCGACGAUCCCUAGCUGGUCUGAGAGGAUGACCAGCCACACGGGAACUGAGACACGGUCCAGACUCCUACGGGAGGCAGCAGUGGGGAAUAUUGCACAAUGGGCGCAAGCCUGAUGCAGCCAUGCCGCGUGUAUGAAGAAGGCCUUCGGGUUGUAAAGUACUUUCAGCGGGGAGGAAGGGAGUAAAGGUAAUACCUUUGCUCAUUGACGUUACCCGCAGAAGAAGCACCGGCUAACUCCGUG
rnacentral:rRNA from 1 species